AUGGAUGAAAUGCAUCUUUAAUGCAAAUUAUAACUGUGUAGUUAAUAAAAUGAUGCAAAAAGGAAUAUAGGUGGCAAUGAGAAAAAAGAGGAGGAUGAUAAGAUGGUACCUUUAUGAUGAACUUGAGACCAACUGUUAUUUCACCGCAAUAUGUGUGGUCCCUUAGGACGACAUUGUAAGGAGCUGGUUUCAGUUCAAUACAGCCUGACUUGUUUGCUUCACUUAGUAUUGCUCUUAUAUUUAUUCUGCAAAUGAUGAUUUAGAAGAGUUUAAUUCAAUUGUCAAGCCAAUUGUUUCAUAUCUGGUAGUUGUUGAAUAAAAUUAGGCAACUUGAUAUUUGUCUCUCUCUCACACACACACAUACCCACACGCGUACGCGAGUGUCUAGAUAGGUGUCACUCAUAUUUGCGUGUGUUGGUCACGUGUGACUUACAUGAUGUACAUGUGUGCCUUAGUAACACUUGUCCAUGACAAUGAUCGUCUUUGAAACCACGAUCUUUCAUUUGAAGAGGAUCUUUUGGUUAAGAGGAAAAUUUAUCAAAAGAUCCUAAAGGAAUGAACUAUUCAAUAUUUUAUUUUACCCUUCUGCAACUAUUCUAACUCAUGGCCAUGUGUGUUUUAUCAGUAUUUGAAAUUACAUAAGAAAAAUAGAGAUAAAAGUGUUCACUUAUAGGUAAUUUGAUAAUUUCCCUUCUUAAGAUUUUCUUUUCAAAAGUUGAUUACAUUCUGAUGGUUUCUUCACCAUGGUCUACCAAAAACAGGUUAUAACUCUAUGUUUUACCCAGUAUGUACUAUCCAUAUUUAGGAGUUUUUGAUGGCUUGUUCUAAAUCGAAGCUCAAAUCAAAGAAGCUAUGGUUUUUGUGAAGUUUGCAGAUCAGAAACUCAAUUGGUGCUGCACCGGGCACUCUGACGUGAACCUAGUUGUAUCUUGGUUCUUACCAAAAUGGAGGUGGCCAAAAACGAGGACAUCGUGAAGUCCAAACUGAAGUUAGGGAGGGAAAAACUGAGGAGCGAAGAUUAAAAACAGUUUCUCUCUCUACUCCAGGGGCAGCAAGAGAAAAGGAAAAAGCCGUUUAUUCUCUCUAGAAGCAGGGUAGUGAGAGAGUAAAUAAAAAGGUGGGGAGAAGUCUAGAGAGAGAGAGCUUGUAGUCAUUGUCAUGAAAAAAAGCACCCAUUGCGUGCAACACAGAGACAAAGAGGCAUUUAUGUAAAAACACGAAAGAGAUAAAGUUAUGGAGAGAGAGAAUGGUACUUUACUUUUCACGAGAAAAAAAA